rnacentral:lncRNA from 1 species
AAUCUCAUAGGAGUUAGGAUGAAGAAGCUAUCCCACUUUCAAAUCAGAUGAUCCCAGUUUUCCUGUUUGGGAAUAUGACAACUUCUUUAUCAUUCUAAUCAAACCAGGAAGAAUUGGGGUGUAAGAAGCUUGAUUUUGAUACAUAAAGUAGUGGAGAAUCAUUAGGAAGUGGAAAAAAUCUCACAGGAGUUAGGAUGAAGAAGCUAUCCCACUUUCAAAUCAGGUGAUCCCAGUUUUUCUGUUUAGGAAUAUGACAACUUCUUUGUCAUCCUAAUCAAAACAGGAAGAAUCGCGAUGUAAGAAGCUUGAUUUUUAUACAUAAAGUAGUGGAGAAUCAUUAGGAAGUGGAAUAAAUCUCAUAGGAGUUAGGAUGAAGAAGCUAUCACACUUUCAAAUCAGGUGAUCCCAGUUUUCCUGUUUGGGAAUAUGACAAUUUCUUCGUCAUUCUAAUCAAACCAGGAUGAAUCGCGAUGUAAGAAGCUUGAUUUUGAUACAUAAAGUAGUGGAGAAUCAUUGGGAAGUGGAAAAAAUCUCAUAGGAAUUAUGAUGAAGAAGCUAUCACACUUUCAAAUCAGGUGAUCCCAGUUUUCCUGUUUGGGAAUAUGACAACUUCUUUGUCAUUCUAAUCAAAACAGGAAGAAUCGCCAUGUAAAAAGCUUGAUUUUGAUACGUAAAGUAGUGGAGAAUCAUUAGGAAGUGAAAUAAAUUUCAUAGGAGUUAGGAUGAAGAAGCUAUCCCACUUUCAAAUCAGGUGAUCCCAGUUUUCCUGUUUGGGAAUAUGACAACUUCUUUGUCAUUCUAAUCAAACCAGGAAGAAUCGCGAUGUAAGAAGCUUGAUUUUGAUACAUAAAGUAGUGGAUAAUCAUUAGGAAGUGGAAUAAAUCUCCUAGGAAUUAGGAUGAAGAAGCUAUCACACUUUUAAAUCAGGUGAUCCCAGUUUUCCUGUUUGGGAAUAUGACAACUUCAUUGUCAUUCUAAUCAAACCAGGAAGAAUCGCGAUGUAAGAAGCUUGAUUUUG